rnacentral:lncRNA from 7 species
AUGGAGAUGGCAGCGUAUGGUGGGACUAAAGGGACUGACCAAGAGACUGUGCAGAAGGAGCCAUUGCAGGAAAGCAGCCAGUCUCUGACACGGCCAGUCUCUGACAGAAAAACACAGGCAGAACAAGCAGCUGGAUUGCCAGGGGUGGAUGUUGGGAAAAUCACAACGGCCGCUGUUGGCGAAGAGCUGCGAAAACACCACAUCCCAGUGAUUGCUGUGGUCUCCGCUGUGCUGCUGUCCGUGCUGAUGCUGGCCUGCGUUCCUAUGCUGUGGAUGUGAAAAAAAUAUCUGUGAGUUAGCUUUCCCCAAGACACUGUAUCGCUG